rnacentral:lncRNA from 1 species
CUUCUGAGGAUUAGCUCUGACUUCCCCGCUAUUGGCGGUCAAAGUGGCCCCGACUCGGGAUGACAAUUGACGGGGAUCAAGGGAUUGCCCAUUCUGUGCCUGUAAGAACGGAUUCGUGCCACAGAAACUCAUCAAGUGGAGGCGGAGAAUAAAGACCGUUCGGGGGUACUGCAGAGGCCUCAUGCCAGCUCUGACCAGGCUCUCUCUGUCCUCCUGGAAGUUCCUCCUCACCUCCAUGCAGAGGUCUGCACCUGUCAGUCAUCACCUGAACCUCAAGGAGCACAUUUUGCCUAGAAAGGAAAGAGAGAUAACUACUUCAACUUCCUUACAAAUUCUGAGGCCCAGAGAAGAGAAGUGACCAGACCCCAGUUACCAAGCAAGUCACUGGGCUGCAACUGGAGAUCAAAUGUUCUGUCCUCCGUCCUCCAAUCUCUCAGUCCCUCAGGAUCCUCAGGGAACCUGGGCUCCCACAGCUUUGCUUCUGUGCUCCUUCAGCCUCUGUGCUCUCAGCCUGCCACCCUUUGCCCCCUCCAGCCCUCCCAGCCCAGCUCUGCUAUCAGAGUAGGGAAAGUCAGUUUUGCCUUUUCUGUGACACUUCCCCGGCUACUGCAAAUCAGUGUGUCCCCAUUCCUAAACUCCUCCACCACCUUCCUGUCUACACUCUCAGAUCUUUUUAUUUUUAUUUAUAUAUGUAUUUAUUUUUGUAAUUUAGAGACAGAAUGUAAUCUGCCCAGGCUGGGGGCUCAUAUUUGCAAUCUUCCUCCUUCAGCUCCCCACAAAGUCCUGGGAUUGUAG